UUGGCCUACGGGGGGCAGCAGUAGGGAAUCUUCCACAAUGGGCGAAAGCCUGAUGGAGCAACGCCGCGUGAAGGAAGAAGGGUUUCGGCUCGUAAACUUCUAUCAACAGGGACGAAAGAAAUGACGGUACCUGAAUAAGAAGCCCCGGCUAACUACGUGCCAGCAGCCGCGGUAAUACGUAGGGGGCAAGCGUUAUCCGGAAUUACUGGGUGUAAAGGGGGAGUAGGCGGCAUGGUAAGCCA
rnacentral:rRNA from 1 species